CAAAAAGAGGGUGCGUGGUGCCGGCGAUUGCAAGCUUAUCAGUACAGCAGGAACGAGUUUCCGUGGCGUUGUAAAUAACUUGAAGCACAACUUGGUCGGAACGCGCCAGGGUAGAAACUACGGCCUUGGUGUUGCUCUGCCAACAUAAUGUUUCUGUCUGUCUCGCAGGUCAUCUUUGUUGCGCUGUUAAUGCACCAAGGCCUACUUUCCUUGCUAGCUCGCCGGGCCCUAGCAUCCAUGGCAGGCAUUGGUGCCUCAGGAAACUUCUCCUCUGGUACCUUUUCGGUUUCCUAUGUCACGGCACCCAACCAGGAUGUCGCCAAGAAGCUUGCCACUGGCCUAGUUCGAAAAGAAGCUGGCAGCAUGUGUCAACAUAGUUCCUGGCAUUACAUCAGUAUACGAGUGGAAAAGUGAAAUUCAGACUGACUCUGAAGUCCUUAUGAUGAUCAAGUCCCGGUCAUCGCGGCUAGAUGAAAUGACAAAAUUUGUUCGAGAAAACCACUCUUAU
rnacentral:misc_RNA from 1 species